UUAGAUACCCUGGUAGUCCACGCCCUAAACGAUGAGUACUAAGUGUUGGUGAGAAUCAGUGCUGAAGUUAACGCAUUAAGUACUCCGCCUGAGUAGUACGUACGCAAGUAUGAAACUUAAAGGAAUUGACGGGAGCCCGCACAAGCGGUGGAGCAUGUUGUUUAAUUCGACGAUACGCGAAGAACCUUACCAGGUCUUGACAUAGCACGCGAAGGCGUAGAGAUACGUUGGAGGAUAGCGUGCAUACAGGUGGUGCAUGGUUGUCGUCAGCUCGUGUCGUGAGAUGUUGGGUUAAGUCCCGCAACGAGCGCAACCCUUAUUUCUAGCUACCAGCAGUAAGAUGGGGACUCUAGAGAGACUGCCAUUGAUAAAAUGGAGGAAGGUGGGGAUGACGUCAAAUCAUCAUGCCCUAUAUGACCUGNGCUACAAACGUGCUACAAUGGCUGAAACAAAGAGAAGCGAGCCCGCGAGGGGGAGCGAACCUCAAAAAAGCAGUCUCAGUUCGGAUUGAAGUCUGCAACUCGACUUCAUGAAGAUGGAAUCGCUAGUAAUCGCGAAUCAAAAGGUCGCGGUGAAUACGUUCUCGGGCUUUGUACACACCGCCCGUCAAACCAUGAAAGUUUGUAAUACCCGAAGCCCGUGGCCUCACGAAAGAGGGAGCCGUCUAAAGUAGGACAGAUGAUUGGGGGUUAAGUCGUAACAAGGGAAGCCCAAUUCCAACC
rnacentral:rRNA from 1 species